ensembl:lncRNA
GGCUUUCAUCAAGGUUAGUGUUUCUGUAGGUUGGUGGCUUUCAUCAAGGUUAGUGUUUCUGUAGGUUGGGGGCUUUCAUCAAGGUUAGUGUUUCUAUAGGUUGGGGGCUUUCAUCAAGGUUAGUGUUUCUAUAGGUUGGGGGCUUUCAUCAAGGUUAGUGUUUCUGUAGGUUGGGGGCUUUCAUCAAGGUUAGUGUUUCUUUAGGUUGGGGGCUUUCAUCAAGGUUAGUGUUUCUUUAGGUUGGGGGCUUUCAUCAAGGUUAGUGUUUCUUUAGGUUGGGGGCUUUCAUCAAGGUUAGUGUUUCUGUAGGUUGGGGCUUUCAUCAAGGUUAGUGUUUCUAUAGGUUGGGGGCUUUCAUC